AGGUAUGGCAUGUGGAUCUGAAGUGUGAAGGACCAACAUAUCCUGGACAGRUCUGUUUACUGUAUCUGUCCUCCCAUCUAGAGUCUGGGUAUAUCUGGACAUACACACACACACACAGAGCAAAAGGACCAAGAGCCCGGAUCCAGCACCAGUGUAAAACCAUGCCUCGUCUUUGUGUCUCAAUGCUGCUCUGGGUCGUCCUGCUGGGUCUCCUCUCUCUAAUAGGGGCUGAGGAAACAGCAGGAGAAGAAGGCAAAGGUGAGUGUGGGAGACUGGGUAACCGGGGGCUACCAAGAUGGGGUUGGAUUCA